GUCCCUGGACGACCGGGGGCGACGACGAAAGAAAGCGGGACGGCCCGC
rnacentral:ncRNA from 1 species